AGCUGUUUAUGAUGAUCGUUUUAAAACAAUGGGAAUCUCUCUGAAUAAGACUGAAGAACUUUUUGUACUGAAACAGUA